CUAGCCUCUCUCCCCGUCGACUCCCUCUCUUUCUCUCUCUCUCUCUCUCUCUCUCUCUCGAUUGCCAAGAUCCAGAACCGCGAUCAUCCCCCCUCAGCACCUCCACAUUCCUUCUGCCAAUCGAUUCGCUCCCUCUGUCGCCCCACUCUACGGCCCCCGCUACCACCAUUCCUAGAAGACGAGCUGCUGCCUGGCGGAUACAGGCUUGGCACUCUCGCCGGGUCAGGGACGUAGGACGUAUUCCCUGAAGCCAAGAGCCUCACCUGCUUCUUCUUCUUCGUCUCCUUUGCCGCCAAAAUCGCCGGAUCCUGCCCUUCCCCAACCACCGCAUCAUCCGGUACGUCGACGCCUCCGCAACCUGUGAGUAGGGCCUUCCUCUUGGGUGUGGAGUUCCAGUGUUUCUAAGCCCGUUAACCUCAGUUAUGUCCUCACCAUGGCCUGUUCCUCUAUGAUAACCGAUCGCUAUAACUUUAAUUGAUCUCAUAAAUGCAAAUUAGUGCAGUCAAGCAUGUUAUUCGUGUAAGCGAUUUUUUGCUGCUGUACAGCAAGGAGAAUAAAAAGAAACCCUCAAUUCCUACCCCAACAGCAAAUGCACAUUAAGCACUGAUGCUUCUAUUCUCUGUUGUACGUUCUUAUUCCUACACAAGCAUUUCUUCAAGUAUAUUAAAUAAACGGGUAUUGUUUGGAAUUUUAGAUCUCAAAUCUGAUUCUUAAACCUUUGAUUCAUUGUUCUUUGGGGUUGGUAGUUCAAUGUGAAUGAGCCGCGUUAUAUUCUUUCUUUCUUUCAAUUUCCUUGAAUCUCACCUGAAUAAUUCAUCAUUUGUCUAUUUAAAUCCUUGAUUGAACAAAUAAACAUACUGUAGUUCUGCCAUUCUUCUAGAUCAGUCAAGUGUCCUGGAAGGAUGAUCUUUUCCGUUUAUUCUUCCAAAACAAGGCAGGAAAUAUACAUAUAUAUUAUAUGAGUCUUUUCUACGAAACUGAAGUUAGGUUACAGCAUUUAUGGAAUGGUGGAUGGGGGUUCUCAUUGGCAGUUGUUUCGUCUAGAAGCUGUUCAAAUGUGUUUGACCUUCUUUUUCUGUUUGUUCAUUUUAAUCCACUUGGAGCCUGCUAUAUAUUCACUGCUACAUGUUUAUGUUUCAUGGGAAGAAUAUUUUACAAAAGUGAGCACAUCUAUGAAUGUUUGACCAGUUUUAUCCGAUUGAAAUAGACAAGGGAAAUGGUUAAAUGAUUUCAAACUUAAGCAUAUAUGCAUUUAUUUACCACACGAAAACUAAUUUGAUUUAGUUACUUUUCAAAACCAUGAGGACGUAUUAAAGUACUAACCUUUAGUUAAAUAAGUAAGAAAGAAGGCCUCGUCUUUUUUUUUAUUCAGAACAAUCUUUUUUCUCACAACUAUAAGUGAGAAGCCUCAAGUUAAAUGAAAUUUCUUUGACUUGUCGUCUGUACUAUCAUAGUAUGUACUUAUGUUAGAUGACAUGAUGGAAUCGGCCCUCCCUGUAUGCAUAAUUUUACAUUAGGCCAUCAUCCCUUCUAUCAUGCACCUCCACAUUAACAUUUAUAUGUGUGCAGGUGCUUUAGUCCAUCUGCUUUUUGAGUUGUUAGUGCCUUGUUCAUUUUUAAACGCUUGUCUUGAAUGUUAUUAAACAAGUUGGUGUCAUGCAGAGUUGAACCCAUGGAACUGGUAGAUGUCUGACUUGUAAGAGGUAUUCAUUUUCAGUUUGCUGCUGUUGCCCAGCAGUCGUUCCUCUUAGGUUCAUUUGAUUGUGUUACUGUAUCAGAUUUGGCUUACACAGCAUAAGGCAUGAUAUAUUACUUAAUUUGACUGUGCUACUUUUCAGAAAGAUAUUUUUGGAACUCAUAAAUUGUGGAUUGCCCUUGGUGUUGUAGUUGCUAGGGUGGCUGUUGCUUCUGGUUACUUUCUUUCGGGAAAGAGGUAAAAUGGGUGAUUGCAGUAUCCUGUCCUCUUCCGGUGAAUGGUUCCUCACAUUGUUUUUUUCCUUCUUGGAAGCUCACUCUGUACAUUUUGUCUUUUCCCUUUUGGAAGUUCAUUUAUACAUUUUUAGCCUAGUGGUAGUGGGUAAAAUUUUCAGCUGGACAAUGAUUCAUGACUUGUUCAACUUGCGUUUGUAUUGUGUUGUGCAUACUGAAGAUUCUUGGAAAGAAUGCUGUAAGCGACGGUUGGCAACUAAUCUUGUGAGGUUUCAUUCUCUUCACUUGGAAAUCUGCAUACAAAAUUAACUAGCUGCUCUCACUCGAGCAAACAUCUAAUUAGAUCCUCAUGCAUCUCUACACGUAGAACCUUACACAUCCCUGUAAACAUCUUCUUUCGGGUCGGAGAAAAAGACUGUUGGCUGGGGGUUAUCUCGUUCACUGAGUGGUUUCUUUUACUGAAUUGGUACUCCAUCCGGAUCCAGUGCUAUCUGAUAUCAACCUGUAUUUGCAGAGUUCCUGAUUUUACCUGUUAUCCUUCCUUAACUAAAUAAACUAUGAUAUUAAAUUGGUUUUUUACAAGUGAAAAUGUAAAAAAGUACUUCAUACA